UGGGGAAUAUUGCACAAUGGGGGAAACCCUGAUGCAGCGACGCCGCGUGAACGAAGAAGUAUUUCGGUAUGUAAAGUUCUAUCAGCAGGGAAGAUAAUGACGGUACCUGACUAAGAAGCACCGGCUAAAUACGUGCCAGCAGCCGCGGUAAUACGUAUGGUGCAAGCGUUAUCCGGAUUUACUGGGUGUAAAGGGUGCGUAGGUGGCAUGGCAAGUCAGAAGUGAAAACACGGGGCUCAACCCCGUGACUGCUUUUGAAACUGUCAGGCUGGAGUGCAGGAGAGGAAAGCGGAAUUCCUAGUGUAGCGGUGAAAUGCGUAGAUAUUAGGAGGAACACCAGUGGCGAAGGCGGCUUUCUGGACUGUAACUGACACUGAGGCACGAAAGCGUGGGGAGCAAACAGG
rnacentral:rRNA from 1 species